GGAUUUCAAGAUUUUGUGAAGGAUUUAAGUGAAUUAUUCAGGAUUAAGGGAAUACGUGAAUAUGUUAUGUGUAUAUGUGUACAGUAUGUGGUUAAGGCUCAAGGGUUGACCAGAUAAAUGAUAUAUGUAACCAACCUUAAGUAUAUAUUAAGAACGUCAACGUUCGGUUAUAAAAACUAGCGAAUUAUAAGAAACCCUAGAAACCAGUUCUGGAAACACUAAUUUCAGUUUCG
rnacentral:lncRNA from 1 species